AGGUGAACUCAGAGCCUGCCUGACACAGCUAAUCCAGCUUGCCAGCUUGUUCCAGAGAUCUGUCUCAGUCUUCUGCUGCAGUCACAGGUAAAUGCCACGCCCUCUCAACAUUUACAUGAGUGCUAGGGAUCUGAACAGGAAUCUCAUACUUGGGCAAUAGACAUUUUAUUCACAGAACCAUCUCCUUACCCCUUUUCCUUUCUUUUUGGGGGGAAGUGGGACAGAGUUGGACAUUCCUCUUCAGUAUAUACCCAGGAGUAGAAUUUCUGGAUAACAGGCUAGGUGUACAUUUGGUUGAUAAAGUGGCAAACCAUCUCUGGAAACAGCCACAGGCCUUUAUAUUCCCCAGGAGACCCAUCAAGGAUGCUUUCAGUGUAUUGACUGAUUAAUCCAUGCACGUCGGAUGUGAAAGUCGGAAAUGAGAUCGAAUGUCUGGAAACUUUCCUGCAGGAGCCACGCCACUCAGGACCCAACGUAUAAGCUAACAGGCUGUCCUUGAGUUUUGUGGGACAGGGAACGCUUAUCAACCUUAGGCCUGGUUUCAAUGGAUCAAGCGAUCAUUUUCUCUCUGCCUGUAACUCAAACCAUGGAGAUGAGGCGAGGAGCCUCAGAAAUGGGAGUCUGCGCCAAGCUCAUUCAUAACAAACAUUCCUUAGACACAGUGCCCGUCGCCUUGCCAGACACAAUGAGGAGGAUGAAGGAUGUGGAAGAUUCCAUUCCUGUUCUCAAUUUCUUGCUCUUGUUCACAACACAGGCAGCAACAACUCUUCCUUUGCCCGGAAGGCAGGCACACAGUUCUGACGGCUGACUUUUGACCUUUGACCUUUGUGUUUUAUCUGUGUAAUAGCCCUGGCUGUCCUGGAACUCGCUUUGUAGACCAGGCUGGCCUUGAACUCUUCUAUUCAUUUUUUUUUUUUUUUUGGACGGGUAGUCAUGUGGAGGUCAAGGAACAAUUGCGGGAGUUGGUUCUCUCCUUCCACCAUGUUGGUCCCUGGUUGGGAGCAAGCACCCUCAGCCCCUGAACCCGGCUGCCGGCUAGCUGAGCAGAUUCCUUCUAGCGGGAGCUGAGACAAGAAGAUCUCCAGCUCUGUGCCUGUCAUCUAGCCUAUCAGCUGAAGGAAGGCACAGCUCCCCGCCAGGCUGGUCUCAGCAACAGUAAUUAAACUAACCCGCAGUGAUGCCAGCCAGCCUCGGUGCUACCACGGGUGGAGACCUCGACUAGACAUGAUUGGUGCCCCAUUGUCUCCAAGGGAGACACGCAAGACUGUGCAAGGAAAGGCAAACGCAAACAUCAUUAAUAUUGUACGUCUGUGCAGGCUGCAAUGGAGGGAGGAGACACACCUGCUGACACCCACAGCUCGGCGACGUCACUGUCGCCUCUGCUGGGCGGAGGGGGCUGCGGGGCGCGGUCCGGCACAUCCGGCUGGCGGGUUCCCGGGAGGUUCCCGGGUAAAGGUUCCUAGUAUCCUCGCUAGCUGUUCCUGUCACUGUCGUGUGGGGCCCGCAAGAAGCGAGAGGAGAGGUUUCAGGGUGGCGGCGGAUACGUAGGGGUCGUCCAAGGUCCCGUUUUAGAGGUCACAUACAGCCUUUGCCUCAGGGCUCCCGCCCAAGCCCUUCACAGCCUGUACCCGAGAGCCAGGAAGAGCGGGCGAGAGCGCGCGCGCGCAGAGCCUGCCC
ensembl:lncRNA